ACAAACUUGGUCAUUUAGAGGAAGUAAAAGUCGUAACAAGGUUUCCGUAGGUGAACCUGCGGAAGGAUCAUUAAAGGUUUUCGCUGUUUGUGAAGGGCUGUUGCUGGCCGUAUUUUGGCAAGUGCACACCUGGAUCAUAGACACAGCAUAAUAAACCCCUCUCCUGCACCUGUGCACAACUGUAGUGGAGGGGCUAGGUCUUGCCCUCUGCUGCGAAUGUCGUUAAUCGCAUGUAAACAAAAAGUCUUGGGAUGUUCAUAAAUGUAACAAACUAUACACAACUUUCAGCAACGGAUCUCUUGGCUCUCGCAUCGAUGAAGAACGCAGC
rnacentral:misc_RNA from 1 species